rnacentral:rRNA from 1 species
CAUAGGUUAAUGAGGCGAACCGGGGGAACUGAAACAUCUAAGUACCCCGAGGAAAAGAAAUCAACCGAGAUUCCCCCAGUAGCGGCGAGCGAACGGGGAGCAGCCCAGAGCCUGAAUCAGUGUGUGUGUUAGUGGAAGCGUCUGGAAAGGCGCGCGAUACAGGGUGACAGCCCCGUACACAAAAAUGCACAUGCUGUGAGCUCGAUGAGUAGGGCGGGACACGUGGUAUCCUGUCUGAAUAUGGGGGGACCAUCCUCCAAGGCUAAAUACUCCUGACUGACCGAUAGUGAACCAGUACCGUGAGGGAAAGGCGAAAAGAACCCCGGCGAGGGGAGUGAAAAAGAACCUGAAACCGUGUACGUACAAGCAGUGGGAGCACGCUUAGGCGUGUGACUGCGUACCUUUUGUAUAAUGGGUCAGCGACUUAUAUUCUGUAGCAAGGUUAACCGAAUAGGGGAGCCGAAGGGAAACCGAGUCUUAACUGGGCGUUAAGUUGCAGGGUAUAGACCCGAAACCCGGUGAUCUAGCCAUGGGCAGGUUGAAGGUUGGGUAACACUAACUGGAGGACCGAACCGACUAAUGUUGAAAAAUUAGCGGAUGACUUGUGGCUGGGGGUGAAAGGCCAAUCAAACCGGGAGAUAGCUGGUUCUCCCCGAAAGCUAUUUAGGUAGCGCCUCGUGAAUUCAUCUCCGGGGGUAGAGCACUGUUUCGGCAAGGGGGUCAUCCCGACUUACCAACCCGAUGCAAACUGCGAAUACCGGAGAAUGUUAUCACGGGAGACACACGGCGGGUGCUAACGUCCGUCGUGAAGAGGGAAACAACCCAGACCGCCAGCUAAGGUCCCAAAGUCAUGGUUAAGUGGGAAACGAUGUGGGAAGGCCCAGACAGCCAGGAUGUUGGCUUAGAAGCAGCCAUCAUUUAAAGAAAGCGUAAUAGCUCACUGGUCGAGUCGGCCUGCGCGGAAGAUGUAACGGGGCUAAACCAUGCACCGAAGCUGCGGCAGCGACGCUUAUGCGUUGUUGGGUAGGGGAGCGUUCUGUAAGCCUGUGAAGGUGUGCUGUGAGGCAUGCUGGAGGUAUCAGAAGUGCGAAUGCUGACAUAAGUAACGAUAAAGCGGGUGAAAAGCCCGCUCGCCGGAAGACCAAGGGUUCCUGUCCAACGUUAAUCGGGGCAGGGUGAGUCGACCCCUAAGGCGAGGCCGAAAGGCGUAGUCGAUGGGAAACAGGUUAAUAUUCCUGUACUUGGUGUUACUGCGAAGGGGGGACGGAGAAGGCUAUGUUGGCCGGGCGACGGUUGUCCCGGUUUAAGCGUGUAGGCUGGUUUUCCAGGCAAAUCCGGAAAAUCAAGGCUGAGGCGUGAUGACGAGGCACUACGGUGCUGAAGCAACAAAUGCCCUGCUUCCAGGAAAAGCCUCUAAGCAUCAGGUAACAUCAAAUCGUACCCCAAACCGACACAGGUGGUCAGGUAGAGAAUACCAAGGCGCUUGAGAGAACUCGGGUGAAGGAACUAGGCAAAAUGGUGCCGUAACUUCGGGAGAAGGCACGCUGAUAUGUAGGUGAAGUCCCUCGCGGAUGGAGCUGAAAUCAGUCGAAGAUACCAGCUGGCUGCAACUGUUUAUUAAAAACACAGCACUGUGCAAACACGAAAGUGGACGUAUACGGUGUGACGCCUGCCCGGUGCCGGAAGGUUAAUUGAUGGGGUCAGCGCAAG